UACGUAGGGGGCUAGCGUUAUCCGGAAUUACUGGGCGUAAAGGGUGCGUAGGCGGUCUUUCAAGCCAGAAGUGAAAGGCUACGGCUCAACCGUAGUAAGCUUUUGGAACUGUAAGACUUGAGUGCAGGAGAGGAGAGUGGAAUUCCUAGUGUAGCGGUGAAAUGCGUAGAGAUAUGGAGGAACACCAGUGGCGAAGGCGGCUUCCUGGUCUGUAACUGACACUGAGGCGCGAAAGCGUGGGGAGCAAACAGGAUUAGAUACCCGCGUAGUCCCU
rnacentral:rRNA from 1 species